ACCGUGCGAAGGUAGCGUAAUCACUUGUUCUUUAAAUGAGGACUAGUAUGAAUGGCCCCACGAGGGCUGCACUGUCUCCUUUUUCUAAUCAAUGAAACUAAUCUCCCCGUGAAGAAGCGGGGAUAAUUCUAUAAGACGAGAAGACCCUAUGGAGCUUUAAACAACUGAAACACUUGCUUUUUCCAUUAACCUCUUCCGAGUUCUUUACUUCACUCAAGCAUUUUUAUUUCUAGUUUUAGGUUGGGGUGACCACGGAGCAAAACUAAACCUCCACGAAGAAAUGAAUACUUUUUAAGCCACAAACUACUUUUUUAAGCAUCAACAAAUUGACCUUCAUUGACCCAAUAUAUUGAUCAACGAACCAAGUUACCCUAGGGAUAACAGCGCAAUCUACUUCAAGAGCUCGUAUCGACAAGUAGGUUUACGACCUCGAUGUUGGAUCAGGGUAUCCUAGUGGG
rnacentral:rRNA from 1 species